rnacentral:lncRNA from 1 species
CUUAUGACAGACUGAUUGCACUACUGGUCUUAAUUCUUCACACUUGCCUAGAGCCACUCUGCCCUGAGAAUUCCUAUCUCCUCUAAAUAAAGAGGUGCAAUCUAGUUCCUUCUCCCUUGAAUCAGGGUUUUCCUCUGGCUGACUUUGGCCAAUAAGAGCUGGAAAUGACAGUGUGUCAGUUCCAAGCCUAGCUCAGAAGGCAUUGCAUAUUUUCCUCUGACUCACACACUCUGCCAUUACCAUGAGAACAUGCCUGGGUUAGCUGCCUGCAGAGCAAAAAUAGCAAAACCAAGUCAUCUCUGUUACCCCAAUGGGGGCCAACCCAGAGUAGCCAAUAAGACACCAAUCUUUGUACAUAUGGGGAAGAAACAGAGCAAUGAAGAUAUUCAUCACACAAUUUGAAUGAACAGUGACUGGUAAGUUAAUUUCCUUUCACUGAGAAACUUGGACUUUGUUGCUAGAAUAUUCUAUUUGGAGCAUGAAUCCCACAAAUCACUGAACCAUUGAUUUUAAUACUAAAUUUAUUUUAAAACAACUUUCAGGGAGUUCCCAUCAUGGCUCAGUGGUAACAAACCCAACUAGUUUCCUUGAGGACAUGGGUUUGAUCCCUGGCCUCGAUCAGUGGGUUAAGGACCUUGAGGUGGGCUGUGGUGUGGGUCACAAACACAGCUUGGAUCCUGCAUUGCUGUGGCUGUGGCAUAGGCUGGUAGCUGCAGCUCCAAUUUGACCCCUAGCCUGGGAACUUCCAUAUGCCAUGGGUGCAGCCCUAAAAAGACUAAUAAAAUACUUUUAAUGUUUGACA